AGGGGCGUAAGUUCAAUGGCUAGACUGCCGGUCUCCAAAACCGGACGUGGGGGUUCGAAUCCCUCCGCCCCUGCCA
rnacentral:tRNA from 1 species